AUAACGAGCGCAACCCCUACCUUUAGUUGCCAUCAGGUUAAGCUGGGGACUCUAAAGGAACUAGCCUACGCAAGUAGUGAGGAAGGCGGGGAGUGACGUCAAAUCGGCACGGCCCUUACGUCCAGGGCUACACACGUGCUACAAUGGCCGAUACAGAGGGCAGCUACCUGGUGACAGGAUGCAAAUCUCCAAAGUCGGUCUCAGUUCGGAUCGGAGUCUGCAACCCGACUCCGUGAAGUUGGAUUCGCUAGUAAUCGCGCAUCAGCCAUGGCGCGGUGAAUACGUUCCCGGGCCUU
rnacentral:rRNA from 1 species